rnacentral:rRNA from 2 species
CCUGAAAGCUUUUGAGCUAUCUUUAUGUAUAGUUAAUGUUUCAAAAUUAAAGAAAAUAUAAAGAUAGAAAUGAUAUGUUUUUCGCAAAAGCUGAUAGCUGGUUAAGAAAAAAAUACAUUUACGUGUAGAUUUAAAAGUUACUAAUUUUUAAAAAAUUUAAGUAGUUUUAAAUUUAAGUUAUAAAGGGAUGAGCUUUUAUAAUAACAAGAAAAUUUAGGCUUUUUGUAUAGUUGAAAUUGCUAAUCAGUAAUAUGUUUUCGUAAAAAGAAGCUUAGGUUUGUGUUUUUAUUUAUAUUUCUUUUUCUUAAAAAAUUUUUUAUGGAGAGAUUAGUAUAGGAUUAGUAUUAAUGUUUUAUUAUUCAAAAGAAAGAAGGUUGAAUUAAAAUAGUUUUGUAAAAUUAAUUUAUUUUUUAAGAACUCGGCAAAUAUUUUUUACGCCUGUUUAACAAAAACAUGGCCUUUUGGGGAUUUAUAUAAAAGGUUGGGCCUGCCCGGUGAUCUGAAAUGGUUUAACGGCUGCGAUUGAAACCGUACUAAGGUAGCAUAAUAAUUUGCCCUUUAAUUGGGGGAGAGAAUGAAUGGUUUGACGGUAAAAAAGCUGUUUUAAAAAUAAAAAAAGAAGUUAACUUUUAAGUGAAAAGGCUUAAGUUUUUAUAAAAGACGAGAAGACCCCGUCGAGCUUAAUUAGAAUAACUUAAAUGUAGGUUAUUUAAAAUUUUAUUGGGGCAAUAGAAAAUGAAAUGAAUCAUUUUUUUUAUUAUAAGGAUCCAGUUUUGACUGAAAAAAGCAAAAGCUACCGCGGGGAUAACAGGGUAAUUUUUUCUGAGAGUUCAUAUUUAAGAAGAAGUUUGCUACCUCGAUGUUGGAUUAGAAUUUCUUUAUGCUUGCAGCAGGUAUAAUAGUAGGACUGUUCGUCCUUUAAAAUUUUACAUGAUCUGAGUUCAGACCGGUGUAAACUAGGUCGGUUUCUAUCUUUAUUUAAAAAAACUUUUGUACGAAAGGAUCAAGUUUU